rnacentral:snRNA from 1 species
ACCGCUUCUCGGCCUUUUGACUAAGAUCAAGUGUAGUUCCUGUUCUUAACAGUCUAAUAUCUGAUACGUCCUCUAUCUGAGGACAAUAUAUUAAAUAGAUUUCUGAAGCACGGAGAUGGAAUAGGAGCUUUCUCUGUCCACUCCAUGCAGCGACCUGGUAUUGCAGUACGUCCAGAAACAGUGCAAAAAAA